GGGCGCGGCUGUGCGCCGUGCCGCCGCCGACCGACUGUCCGGCGCCGUUCCCUCUGGUCUCGCCGCUGCUGUACGCGCGGCUUAGCCAGACGGCCGUGCACCGGCCGGUGCCGCUGCUGCCGCGGCCCAGCCCCGCCCACCAGGCUCCACUGCACGCGUUCGCCUUCGACUACGGCCAGUGCCGAGACGAGGCACCCUUGAAUCUGUCGAAGAGGUAGCACCAGGUGCUGCCACUUUCUCCUCUGCCUCUGUCCACUCCUGCAACCCAGCGAGGCAAGCUGAAAAACCCUUUGCCGACUAAUGGUCUUUCGGUGACAGGUCAUGCGGCGUGACGUCACUCGUCAAUCCACUCGUCAGCAUGCUCGUACGAAGCCUUGUCUACUCUGAUAAUUUUGUACCGCCUUUUCUACUGAGCGAUCUCUCACUUCGGCGCGUGGUUUGCGCCGCGUCUCCGCCUCCGUCCCGACCGUUGCUGCUCAUGAGGAGUUCCACGGGGUGCCCGGCCGCGUGCUGUUCGGGCCGGACCGGGGUCGCCGGGAAGUGUGUGUGCCGGCAGCCAGGCGCCGCCACUGUGCCAUCUCUAGUGCGCCAGCCGCGGAGCGGUCCGCCUCCGCCGGUUCGGCGGCACGCGUUGGGGAGGGGGGGGGGGGGGCACGCUGGAGCUCGACAGGCCAGCGAUCUCAGUUUGGCGCCCGCGCCGGCCUGCGGCGGUCGUUGUUUUGUUUCGCUGCCGUGGAGGGAGGCGCUUAGAAGCGUUAUUUGUUUGUUAUCCAGGUGACACUGCGUUAGUGUGCUUGUUUCGUGCUGAUCUGCUUGCCUGUACUGGUGUACCGGCGCUCGCCCCGUGUGUGUUUGUGUGGGGGGGGGGGGGCAUCUGGGGCCCAGGAGCGACCAAUGCGCGGUCCCGACGCUUCCCAUGAUUCAUUAUAUGGAACUGUCCAGACCAUUGGGCUCCAUUUGUGCCGCUAUGCUUUCUUCUCAGUGCCUUGGAAACCGCCAUAGAGUGAGCGUACAAUACCCUCAUUACUCGUGCCAACUGCUUAGUGAACAGAUUGCGUUUAUACUUGUCGAAGUCGUCGAAUAUGUCUCUACGUGUAUUUAUUGGGCAGCCAGUUGAAUGCAGACCAACUUUUCACUGCAUUCAGAUGUAUUGCUAGUGUAGAUAGUGUUGCUACAGCAAAUGCACAAGUACAAUCAUA